rnacentral:rRNA from 1 species
AUUGAACGCUGGCGGCAGGCCUAACACAUGCAAGUCGAGCGGAUGAAGGGAGCUUGCUCCUGGAUUCAGCGGCGGACGGGUGAGUAAUGCCUAGGAAUCUGCCUGGUAGCGGGGGAUAACGUCCGGAAACGGGCGCUAAUACCGCAUACGUCCUGAGGGAGAAAGUGGGGGAUCUUCGGACCUCACGCUAUCAGAUGAGCCUAGGCCGGAUUAGCUAGUUGGUGGGGUAAAGGCCUACCAAGGCGACGAUCCGUAACUGGUCUGAGAGGAUGAUCAGGCACACUGGAACUGAGACACGGUCCAGACUCCUACGGGAGGCAGCAGUGGGGAAUAUUGGACAAUGGGCGAAAGCCUGAUCCAGCCAUGCCGCGUGUGUGAAGAAGGUCUUCGGAUUGUAAAGCACUUUAAGUUGGGAGGAAGGGCAGUAAGUUAAUACCUUGCUGUUUUGACGUUACCAACAGAAUAAGCACCGGCUAACUUCGUG